AGGAUGAAGGGUUUGAUCCUGGCUCAGGGUUAACGCUGGCGGCGUGCGUAACACAUGCAAGUCGAACGGGCCAUUACUCUUUGGAGUGAUGGUUAGUGGCGAACGGGUGAGUAAAAGGUAGGGACCUACCCCGAGGACAGAGAUAGCUACUGGAAACGGUAGGUAAACUCUGAUAAGCCCGAGAGGGGAAAGUGGAAGGCAGCCUUGGGAUGGACCUACUAUCCAUCAGGUAGUUGGUGAGGUAAAGGCUCACCAAGCCGAUGACGGAUAACCGGUGUGAGAGCAUGUACGGUCACAAGGGCACUGAGACACGGGCCCUACUCCUACGGGAGGCAGCAGUGGGGAAUAUUGGACAAUGGGCGAAAGCCUGAUCCAGCGACGCCGCGUGAAGGAAGAAGUCCUUCGGGAUGUAAACUUCUGAACUAAUCGAAUAAAAGGGUAGUGGACACACUACAGAAGAAGGUAGAUUAGGAAAAGUCCCGGCUAACUACGUGCCAGCAGCCGCGGUAAGACGUAGGGGGCGAGCGUUGCCCGGAAUCACUGGGUGUAAAGGGGACGUAGGCGGAUGAUCAAGUCAUCUGUGAAAAGAUUGCUCAACGAUUGGCUUGCGGAUGAAACUGGUCAUCUUGGGCGUAGCAGAGGUAGACGGAAUUACCUGAGUAGGGGUGAAAUCCGCAGAUACAGGUAAGAACGCCGGUGAAGAAGUUGGUCUACUAGGCUACAGCUGACGCUGAGGUCCGAAAGCCAGGGGAGCGAACCGGAUUAGAUACCCGGGUAGUCCUGGCUGUAAACGAUGCUCACUAGGUGUAGGGAGCGAAAGACUCUCUGUGCUGAAGCUAACGCGAUAAGUGAGCCACCUGGGGAGUACGUCCGCAAGGAUGAAACUCAAAGGAAUUGACGGGGGUCCGCACAAGCGGUGGAGCAUGUGGUUUAAUUCGAAGCUAACCGAAGAACCUUACCAGGGAUUGACAUGUAACUGAAGGUAGAGAAAUCUACUGGCCUGCCGUGAGGUAGGAGGUUACACAGGUGGUGCACGGUCGUCGUCAGCUCGUGCCGUGAGGUGUUGGGUUAAGUCCCACAACGAGCGCAACCCCUACAAUUAGUUACCAGCAAGUAAAGUUGGGGACACUAAUUGGACAGCCGCCGACGAGGCGGAGGAAGGAGGGGAUGACGUCAGAUAAGCGUGCCCCUUAUACUCUGGGCGACACACGUGCUACAAUGGGGAGGACAAAGGGAAGCGAAGCCGAGAGGUGGAGCGGAUCCGAAAAAACUCUCCGUAAUAUGGAUUGUAGGCUGAAACUCGCCUACAUGAAGCUGGAAUCGCUAGUAAUCGCAGGUCAGCCAAACUGCGGUGAAUACGUUCCCGGGCCUUGUACACACCGCCCGUCACGCCACCCGAGUUGGGAACACCUGAAGGCAGUACGG
rnacentral:rRNA from 1 species